UACGGGGGGGAGCAAGCGUUGUCCGGAAUCACUGGGCGUAAAGGGCGCGUAGGCGGCCUGAUAAGUAGGGGGUGAAAUCCUGCGGCUUAACCGCAGGGCUGCCUUCUAAACUGUCGGCUCGAGCACAGUAGAGGCAGGUGGAAUUCCCGGUGUAGCGGUGGAAUGCGCAGAUAUCAGGAGGAACACCGAUGGCGAAGGCAGGUCUCUGGGCCGCGAACUGACGCUGAGGAGCGAAAGCAUGGGGAGCGAACAGG
rnacentral:rRNA from 1 species